AUUGAGUGAGUUAUAUACAUGCAUAUGUAUAUAGGAAACUAUAUAAACUGAUAAUUAUAAUGGAGGACAGUUGUAAUGAGUAAGUACUUAGGUACUUUAAUUUUGAAUUUGAAGCCCUCGUCAGUAAUUCAGAAAAUGGUCCAGUGUGAAUACGACGAUGCCUUCCACGUUGUUGAUCUGGAUGAACCGUAUUCAACGCAGCAGUUUGAUACCAUAGACGAAGAUAUUGAAAUUUUUGAUAUGACAUCUCUCAGUACCUUAGUUUUGUUAAGCCAGAACGAAUCGAAGUCUGAAUCGUUUGCUACCUUAGAAAAUGAGUUAUUUUAUACGGAUCCAAGGCAUCGGCUAUCGCUAGCUUAUGAAAAGCUGCACUCAAUACCAAAAUUGCUGCUACAUGAACUAUCGCCCAUUAUUAAAACGUUGGAUAUAAGUCACAAUGAAUUUGACAAUAUUGACUUUGCGGGAGAAUUCAAACAAUUAACAAUGUUUAUCUGUGAUCACAAUAAUAUUACCUCAACAACGCACAUUCCUUACAUGCCCCAAUUGGAAUUGCUAUGGAUGAACCAUUGCAAGAUAGCCGAACUGUAUCCAUGGGCGAAGAGGUUACAACAGGCUUGUCCGAACUUAAGGCAUUUGUCGUUAAUGGGGAACCCAGCGGCUCCGUCGUACCUUAACGGCGGAACAUUUUAUGAGUAUUUACAAUACAGGUUAUUUAUGAUUUCGUUAUUCCCAACGUUGGUUCAUUUGGAUGAUAAAGUCGUUACCGAUGACCAAAGAGCUGAAGCGCAUCGAUUAUACAAAAGGCCAUUUUUUGAAAGGGUUACAUCGAAAACAACUACGACCCUACCUACAUACUUAAGAUCUGUGACGGAUAAAGUUUCUGAAAUUUUGACACCACUACCGACGCUCUCGUUAAAUAACCAAAAAAACUUAAUUAUUUAAACAAUUGUACUUUAUAAUUAUGCAACAUUUAUCAUUUUUAGUUACAAGAACGUGACAACAUUGUAUUUUAAAUUAUAACAGAGAAAUCAAACCACGUAUGGAAAUUAUUUCACCCCCUUUGUUAUGGUGAUCAUGGGAACCGACUUGUACAAGAAAAUUCAACUGGAAUUACAUUGAAUUCGGGUUCAAUUUGAAUACUAAGAAACGGAAGUCUUUAAACUGGACUUCUUUAUUACACUUUCUGUCCAUCCGUCUCGUAUUGUUUUCUUUUCGAGAAAUAUGACGUGUUUUCCCGAAAACGUAGAAUAGUGGGAUGCCUUCGGAAGCGCUCGAGAUUUUUCAUGAAAUAAGGGGCGGUAGCUAUAUAAGCAAAUCGAAUUGACAGUUCCACUUUCAACGCCGAAAUCAUAAAUGGUGUAUACGUAAGUGACAAAUAAAUUUUGCUGUUAUAAAUCCAUUCUUUUCAAUACUGUUAUAAAUUUAUUGUUCAUUAUUUGUAAAUAAAUAAACGGCGUAAUUAAAUUUACGUUACAAUA